rnacentral:rRNA from 1 species
UAAGGAAUAUUGGUCAAUGGACGCAAGUCUGAACCAGCCAUGCCGCGUGAAGGAAUAAGGCCCUAUGGGUUGUAAACUUCUUUUAGACGGGACAAAACCCCUUACGUGUAAAGGGUUGAUGGUACUGUCAGAAUAAGCAUCGGCUAACUUCGUGCCAGCAGCCGCGGUAAUACGAAGGAUGCAAGCGUUAUCCGGAAUUCUUGGGUUUAAAGGGUGCGUAGGCGGACUAAUAAGUCAGUGGUGAAAGCCUGCAGCUUAACUGCAGAAUUUCCAUUGAUACUGUUAGUCUUGAGUACAGUUGAGGUAUGCGGAAUGUGUCAUGUAGCGGUGAAAUGCUUAGAUAUGACACAGAACACCGAUUGCGAGGGCAGCUUGCUAAGCUGUAACUGACGCUGAGGCACGAAAGCGUGGGGAGCAAACA